UUGUCCUCUCCAAAAAAAUAAAAUAAAAAAUAUAUAUAUUCAGUAGAGCGAGGGCGAGCGACUAGAUUAGGAAUGGCUAUGCCACAAUUCCCUUAAGCUGUAUCGAACGAAAACUCAGAGACAAAUCCACACACCCACACAAAAAAAACCACAUACAGUGCUGGUGGAUUAAAGCCCUAACCGGUGAAAAUGUUUUUCCCUCUUUCCAUCAACCCUCUUUCAGUUGACCAUCAGAGCAAACCCUAACCCCUAAAGAAGAAACCCUAAAACUAGAAUCCUCCAUUAGAGACACGAAGGUGUGUUCGGCGAUUUGCAGACGACCGCUGCUGCUAGAGUUGGGCUAGAGGAGUUCAAUUUUUGAAGAGGAUGCAUACGAACAGGAUGCUGAACCAAAAGACCGAAAAAUUGGGAAGCUUUGUGAUUAUGCUUUGAAAAAUCCAUUACGAAUACCAAAGAUUACUGAUUACCUAGAGCACAGAUUUUAUAAGGAUUUGAGGAAUGAGCAUUUUGGCUCCGUAAAAGUUGUGCUUUGCAUUUAUAGGAAUUUGUUGUCAUCAUGUAACGAGCAGAUGGUUAGCAGUGAUGCUGGUAAUGCUAGUGACCACAUGCCUAACUUCCUUAGUGAUAAUCCUUUGUUGGCACAGUGAAUGAAGAUGGCUGGGCAAGCUUGGCGGUGCUACUUCUUUUUGCAAUCUUUUGUUAGCACUUGGUUUUCUUUUUUUUAACAAUGAUGGAGACUUUGUACUCUAAAUUAUUCAAUGAAUGUUUUGGAUUAAUUUUUGGUGAUUGUUCUUUUUUUAACAAUGAUGGAAACUUUGUACUUCAAAUUAUUUAAUGAAUGUUUGGGAUUAAUUUUA